rnacentral:rRNA from 1 species
GUAAACUUCUUUUAUCUGGGACGAAAAAAGGGAAUUCUUUCUCACUUGACGGUACCAGAGGAAUAAGCACCGGCUAACUCCGUGCCAGCAGCCGCGGUAAUACGGAGGGUGCAAGCGUUAUCCGGAUUUACUGGGUUUAAAGGGUGCGUAGGUGGGUAGGUAAGUCAGUGGUGAAAUCUUCAAGCUUAACUUGGAAACUGCCAUUGAUACUAUUUAUCUUGAAUACUUUGGAGGUAAGCGGAAUAUGUCAUGUAGCGGUGAAAUGCUUAGAUAUGACAUAGAACACCAAUUGCGAAGGCAGCUUACUACACAGUGAUUGACACUGAGGCACGAAAGCGUGGGGAUCAAACAGGAUUAGAUACCCUGGUAGUCCACGCCCUAAACGAUGGAUACUCGACAUUAGCGAUACACAGUUAGUGUCUGAGCGAAAGCAUUGAGUAUCCCACCUGGGAAGUACGACCGCAAGGUUGAAACUCAAAUGAAUUGACGGAA